rnacentral:rRNA from 1 species
UGCAGUCGAGCGCGAGGAGCGAACAGAACUCUUCGGAGGGACGUUCGUGGAACGAGCGGCGGACGGGUGAGUAACACGUAGGCAACCUGCCUGUAAGACUGGGAUAACUCGCGGAAACGCGAGCUAAUACCGGAUAAUACUUACCAUCACCUGAUGAUAAGUUAAAAGGCGGCUUUUGCUGUCACUUACAGAUGGGCCUGCGGCGCAUUAGCUAGUUGGUGGGGUAAGGGCUCACCAAGGCGACGAUGCGUAGCCGACCUGAGAGGGUGAUCGGCCACACUGGGACUGAGACACGGCCCAGACUCCUACGGGAGGCAGCAGUAGGGAAUCUUCCGCAAUGGACGAAAGUCUGACGGAGCAACGCCGCGUGAGUGAUGAAGGUUUUCGGAUCGUAAAACUCUGUUGUCGGGGAAGAACAAGUAUGAUAGUAACUGAUCGUACCUUGACGGUACCCGACCAGAAAGCCACGGCUAACUACGUGCCAGCAGCCGCGGUAAUACGUAGGUGGCAAGCGUUGUCCGGAAUUAUUGGGCGUAAAGCGCUCGCAGGCGGUUCUUUAAGUCUGAUGUGAAAUCUUGCAGCUCAACUGCAAACGUGCAUUGGAAACUGGAGGACUUGAGUGCAGAAGAGGAGAGUGGAAUUCCACGUGUAGCGGUGAAAUGCGUAGAGAUGUGGAGGAACACCAGUGGCGAACGCGACUCUCUGGUCUGUAACUGACGCUGAGGAGCGAAAGCGUGGGGAGCGAACAGGAUUAGAUACCCUGGCAGUCCACGCCGUA